UGUGCUGUAGCUCAGUGGUAGAGCAUGCGCACAACAUGUGUGAUGUCCAGGUUCGAUCCCCAGAUUCACAA
rnacentral:tRNA from 1 species